CCUACGGGAGGCAGCAGUGGGGAAUAUUGCGCAAUGGGGGAAACCCUGACGCAGCCAUGCCGCGUGGGUGAAGAAGGCCUUCGGGUUGUAAACCGCUGUCGGAAGGAAGGAAAUGCAUGGGGGUUCUCCCCCGUGUUUGACCGAUCUUCGGAGGAAGUACGGGCUAAGUUCGUGCCAGCAGCCGCGGUAACACGAACCGUACGAACGUUAUUCGGAAUUACUGGGCGUAAAGGGUGCGCAGGCGGCCUGGGAAGUCUUGGGUGAAAGCCCCCAGCUCAACUGGGGAAUGGCCUGAGAAACCACUGGGCUGGAGUGCUGGAGAGGGAAGCGGAAUUCCCGGUGGAGCGGUGAAAUGCGUAGAUAUCGGGAGGAACACCAGAGGCGAAGGCGGCUUCCUGGACAGACACUGACGCUGAGGCACGAAAGCUAGGGGAGCAAAC
rnacentral:rRNA from 1 species